UAAUAUUACUAUGACUUCUUGUCUGUUAUACUCCUAUAUAUGGGAUGAAUUGAAAAAAUAUGAAGUGAAGUCUAUUUAAAAACAUUAUUCUAGACUUCCAGAUAAAGAUGGGCAGUGAAGGCAGACCACAAAAAUCUUCCUCCCCAAAUACCUUACAAAACGGUAAAAGUUAACAGUAAAAACUCCUUUAUAAACAUUACUGAAGCAGCCAGAAAAUGUCCACAACCUAAGCCAAAAGAGGCCAAAAUAAUACUAUUAUUUCAAACUAAAUAAAUUUGGAACAGCAAGAAAUGAAAUAGACAUGGCUAGAAAUCAAAUUCUCACCAAAAGGAAAGACUGGCAAUCCCAGCACAUUCCCCUAGUCAAUUCAUUCUUCUUUUCUUUGAGAUGAUUAUGCCUCAUCUCUUCUCUCCUAAAUCUCCCACGUCUCCCAGCGCCUCACUUCAAACUCUUGUUUUAUGGAUAAAUAGAAACUGUCACAAGAGAAACUCAUCUUUCCGACACCCUGUCUACUGACCUGCCUUCAUCUGUACUCAUAUAGACUCUUCCUUUAUAAAGGAUCAGCGAUCCCUGCUCUUAGCUGAGGCAAGCCCCUCUAUUUGUGCCCUGAUCCCAUCUUUUCUUGUAGAGUCAAGGAUUGCAUUCUUGAUUGGUUCCUGGAAGUGGAACUACUGUGUCAAAG